rnacentral:lncRNA from 1 species
CCCAUCACUAUUUCUAGGAAACGUAACUCCAGCACUCCAAGGGGAUAUGAUGUGUCAGAUAAACCCAUUAUCUUGUAACUCUUUGAUCUAUUUUCUCAGUUCUUCCACGACACGACUAAUUUGGUAUGGGGCAACCAAGAUGUGUUGGGUACUAGGCUGAAGAUCAAUGGAGAAUUCAACUUCUCAAUCUACUGGUAGUCUUAGUAAUUCAUCAAGGAAUAUGUAUGGGAAAUUGCAGACAACAGGGAUAUCUUGAAUAUAAAUCUCUUCUUUAU